GGGGGUUUAGCUCAGUUGGUAGAGCGUCUGAUUUGCAUUCAGAAGGUCAGGAGUUCGAAUCUCCUAGCCUCCA
rnacentral:tRNA from 1 species